GCGGGAUCUUCAUUCGAGGUUAUGAACGAUAGGAGAGAAAUCGUUCACUGUCUUAUCUCAUCAUUUCAUCGCCUUUUGAGUCCUCCAACUAAAACAUGUAUGUAGUGAAGAGGACCUUGCCUCUGAGGAGCAGCACGAGGAGACGGACAAGGAACUCCAAUCUGGACCAGGAGGAAACAGAUCCUCCUCAGUUUGAAAUAGAAUUUGAGGAUCAAGAACUUACUCCUCAGUUUGAAAUAGAAUUUGAGGAUUCAGAACUCAAACAGCUUGAGGAUGAUAAGGAACUAGAAAUUCCACAAGUUAAGGAGGAAGAAGGGGAACUGGACUUUCAAGAUGUUAAAAAGGAAGAAGGGGAUUCAGAAAAUUCACAAAUUGAAGAGGAUUCAGAAAAUACACAGGUCAAAGAGGAAGCGGAUAUCUUAGCCAAUGAGAACAGUACGGUGCUCGCACUGAGGCAGGAGACUGAUGCUCCUCUUCAAACGACGCAAGAAUUGGCUGAUAAUAGGACUGCGCAGGAUUGGCCACUGGAAGGCAAAAGUAAGUAUAAUUAUGUGGAACAUCAUGCUGUCUCAAAAACUAAAUCUAUCCUUUUGUGAUUUCAGCUGAAGAUCUUUAAUUUCAGAAUGAUAGCCACGAUAGAUUUCGUCAGAUAUAAUUACAUUCAUUAUAAAAUCAGUGCACUCUAGAACCUGGUAAAAUCUAGAAAAAAAUUAAACAGAUGUGCUUCAAAUAUUCAGUUCAGUAGCACACCAGCACAAGAUUCUGUUUUUUCUUUAUGAAUUCCAGUUCAUGUGGAAGGUUGUGCAGGUGUAAUCACCUCAUACCCUUGCCCACA